GCGCUCGUGGCCAAGCUGGUUAAGGCAGGGGACUUUUAAUCCUCCAUCGUGAGUUCGAAUCUCACCGAGCGCACCA
rnacentral:tRNA from 2 species